rnacentral:rRNA from 1 species
AGAGUUUGAUCCUGGCUCAGAUUGAACGCUGGCGGCAUGCUUUACACAUGCAAGUCGGACGGCAGCACAAAGAAGCUUGCUUCUUGGGUGGCGAGUGGCGAACGGGUGAGUAACAUAUCGGAACGUACCGAGCAGUGGGGGAUAACUAAUCGAAAGAUUAGCUAAUACCGCAUAUAUUCUGAGGAAGAAAGCAGGGGACCAUUUGGCCUUGCGCCGUUUGAGCGGCCGAUAUCUGAUUAGCUAGUUGGUGGGGUAAAGGCCUACCAAGGCGACGAUCAGUAGCGGGUCUGAGAGGAUGAUCCGCCACACUGGGACUGAGACACGGCCCAGACUCCUACGGGAGGCAGCAGUGGGGAAUUUUGGACAAUGGGCGCAAGCCUGAUCCAGCCAUGCCGCGUGUCUGAAGAAGGCCUUCGGGUUGUAAAGGACUUUUGUCAGGGAAGAAAAGGCUGUUGCUAAUAUCGACAGCUGAUGACGGUACCUGAAGAAUAAGCACCGGCUAACUACGUGCCAGCAGCCGCGGUAAUACGUAGGGUGCGAGCGUUAAUCGGAAUUACUGGGCGUAAAGCGAGCGCAGACGGUUACUUAAGCAGGAUGUGAAAUCCCCGAGCUCAACCUGGGAACUGCGUUCUGAACUGGGUGACUAGAGUGUGUCAGAGGGAGGUAGAAUUCCACGUGUAGCAGUGAAAUGCGUAGAGAUGUGGAGGAAUACCGAUGGCGAAGGCAGCCUCCUGGGAUAACACUGACGUUCAUGCUCGAAAGCGUGGGUAGCAAACAGGAUUAGAUACCCUGGUAGUCCACGCCCUAAA